rnacentral:rRNA from 1 species
GACGAACGCUGGCGGCGUGCUUAACACAUGCAAGUCGAACGGAAAGGCCCUGCUUUUGCGGGGUGCUCGAGUGGCGAACGGGUGAGUAACACGUGAGUAACCUGCCCUUGACUUUGGGAUAACUUCAGGAAACUGGGGCUAAUACCGGAUAGGAGCUCCUGCUGCAUGGUGGGGGUUGGAAAGUUUCGGCGGUUGGGGAUGGACUCGCGGCUUAUCAGCUUGUUGGUGGGGUAGUGGCUUACCAAGGCUUUGACGGGUAGCCGGCCUGAGAGGGUGACCGGCCACAUUGGGACUGAGAUACGGCCCAGACUCCUAUGGGAGGCAGCAGUGGGGAAUAUUGCACAAUGGGCGGAAGCCUGAUGCAGCAACGCCGCGUGCGGGAUGACGGCCUUCGGGUUGUAAACCGCUUUCGCCUGUGACGAAGCGUGAGUGACGGUAAUGGGUAAAGAAGCACCGGCUAACUACGUG